rnacentral:rRNA from 1 species
GAUGAACACUGGCGGCGUGCCUAAUACAUGCAAGUCGAGCGAACUGAUUAGAAGCUUGCUUCUAUGACGUUAGCGGCGGACGGGUGAGUAACACGUGGGCAACCUGCCUGUAAGACUGGGAUAACUUCGGGAAACCGAAGCUAAUACCGGAUAGGAUCUUCUCCUUCAUGGGAGAUGAUUGAAAGAUGGUUUCGGCUAUCACUUACAGAUGGGCCCGCGGUGCAUUAGCUAGUUGGUGAGGUAGCGGCUCACCAAGGCAACGAUGCAUAGCCGACCUGAGAGGGUGAUCGGCCACACUGGGACUGAGACACGGCCCAGACUCCUACGGGAGGCAGCAGUAGGGAAUCUUCCGCAAUGGACGAAAGUCUGACGGAGCAACGCCGCGUGAGUGAUGAAGGCUUUCGGGUCGUAAAACUCUGUUGUUAGGGAAGAACAAGUACGAGAGUAACUGCUCGUACCUUGACGGUACCUAACCAGAAAGCCACGGCUAACUACGUGCCAGCCGCCGCGGUAACAC